ensembl:lncRNA
GACGGUAGUGCGCAUGCGCGAGCUUCUAGACGGCAGUACGCAUGCGCGACAUUAUGGACGGCAGUACGCAUGCGCGAGCGUCGAGCCGGCAGCACGCAUGCGCGACAUUACGGACGAUAGUACGCAUGCGCGAGCUUCGAGACGGCAGUACGCAUGCGCGACAUUAUGGACGGCAGUACGCUUGCUCGAGUUUCCAGAUGGCAGUACGCAUGCGCGGCAUUACGGACAGCAGUACGCAUGCGCGAGCCUGGAGAUGAGAGUACGCAUGCGCCACAACAUAGACAGCAGUACGCAUGCGCGAGCCGCGAGACGGCAGUACGCAUGCGCGAGGUGGCAGCAGAUACCGUGGAAACAACAACUCUGCCGCCUUUUAGCGGACUGCCUGGGACCGUGGGCGCGCAUCCCCUCCUCUCUUUUUUUUCUUGGCAGAGGAUGGUGGGAGGAAGAAGGGGAGACGACAAAGAAAAGCAAGGAAAACUUCGACAAACCCUCCAACCCCGUGCUAAAUGCUUUGGUAUACCUGUAAAUAAAUGAAUACAUAACCAGUAAGUUGUUGUUGUCAUGCCUUUUUUUUUUUUUAAAUAUGUGUAUGUGUAUACAUUUAUAUAUACACAUGUAUAUACAUAUUUCAGCCAGCAUCUGAAGUGAUGAAAAAACAUGGUAUGAAUUGCACGCAGUGAAGCCAAGGGUGCCUUGGAACAAUUAACAGAGCAAUGCAAAACAGCCGUGCAAGUCUUCUAAGAAACAUCAUAGUAACAGCUUUCC